GCUGGGUGGGGAAACGGUAGGGCCUGGGAGGCCUCUCAGACACUGAGCUCUAAUGGGCCUUAGAUUGGGCCAUUUCACUGUUAUCACAAAAUAAACAGGAGGCGCAACCCUGUCCUCACAACACGACUGGGAGACAGGUGUUCCUGUCCUCAUUUUACAGAGAAUGCAACAGUCAGCGAGGUGAAGCCUCUUGUUAAGGAUCCUAUGCUCAGUACAUUGCAAAGGAGGAGCUUUGAGUUCUGCUCCUCCAUUCAAACCUCCUUCCAAAGCAAACUCCAACCAAAGGGCUAGACUUUCCCAUGUGUAAGACUACAGCUGGAAAGGAUCACAGAGGACACAUUUUAGGUCAAUUCUCUCUGUUUACAAUACAAGAGAGUGGAGACCCUCGACAGAAGUGAUUGCUAAGGUCACAAGGCGAGUGCGUGACAAGUGGCACUCUCGGAACCCCAAGACUCGGUUUCUUCUUUCCUGUGCAGCCCGCUGGGGAGGCAGGGGGAGGAGUUGAGCCGGGCUGCAGCUGCCGAGGCCCCCGCGUUCCGGGGGCGGUCCCUGGCGGCCGCGCAUUCCAGAGCCUCCAGAGCCACCCGAGCAGAGCGUGCCCCGUGCCCAGCCGCGCGUCCCGGCCACUGCUGCGCGCUCCCGCCUGCCCGGGGCUUGGAGCUACGGGGCACAUUCGGGGCCGAGAUCCCAGGGCUAGGGGUCGCAUCCCACUGCUAGGACCCGUACCGUCCGAGGAGACCUGGAGAAGCGUUCCGGCUGCCUCCACCCCAGGAACUUUUCGCAGACCUGGCACGAUCCAGCAGCGGCGGGGGCCGUGGGUUUUCAAAGGAGCUGUGCGGAUCCAGGAGUGAAGCAGCAUGGAUGCCGUCAGCCAGGUCCCCAUGGAAGUCGUGCUCCCCAAGCACAUCCUGGACAUCUGGGUCAUUGUCCUCAUCAUCCUGGCCACCAUUGUCAUCAUGACCUCCUUGUUGCUGUGCCCGGCCACUGCGGUCAUCAUCUAUCGCAUGCGGACUCAUCCUGUCCUCGAUAGGGCCGUCUGAGAACCUCCCAAGAGGGGCAGGUGACGGAUGAGGACAGUGUCCCUGCCCCCAGCUGCUUUCCCUUUCUCAGAAGAGCCGCAGGAGGGACUUUGGAGCAUGGACACUGGAGCUCGAUAUGUGAGGAGACCUGAGUUCUGGUUUUGAUUCUGCCACUGGCCAGUGGUGUGAGUUUGGUCAAGGGACCUAAUUCUAUGAGUUCCAGGCUCCUUAUUUUCCAAAUGGGGAUCAUGAUUCCUGCCCGUCCUACCUCAUGGGGUUGUGAGAACCAAUGACCUAGUGGAGGUUAAAGCUGUUGGUGAGCAGAUACACAGGUGUUACUGCUGAAUGCUGAGAAGCUUUGAAGAACCAAAGACCCUAGCCACUGAUGAGGGUCUUCAAGGUGGUGAGGGAGACACUGGGGCAGAGCAGUCUUCCCCAGUGCCCCUAAGAUGAAGGCAAGCAAAGGCACCCUGUCAUCAUUCCAAGGGACCAACAGCAUGUGGCUCAACAUUCUUUUCUUUGAGGUGCCACUCCCUUGAGUUGUCU
ensembl:lncRNA